AAACAUACAAAAUCACACCGCAAGACCAGAUAUCGGCUUUUGCUCCAUCGUAGCCCUUUCUUCUUAGUACUUCGGGUGCGACGUAAGCCGGAGUACCGCACUGCGUGUGGAGAAGACCGUCGUUCCGAAGCUGUUCCGGUAAAGCGGAGAGUCCAAAGUCGGAGAUCUUGAGAUCUUCGUUCUCAUCCAGCAAAAGAUUCUCCGGCUUCAAAUCGCGAUGAGAGACUCCACGGCUGUGACAGUAAUCAACUGCGCUGAUUAACUGCUGAAAAUACUUCCGAGCCACAUCUUCCUUGAGU
rnacentral:misc_RNA from 1 species